AUCGAACGCUGGCGGCAUGCUUUACACAUGCAAGUCGAACGGUAACAGGUUAAGCUGACGAGUGGCGAACGGGUGAGUAAUGCAUCGGAACGUGCCCGAUCGUGGGGGAUAACGCAGCGAAAGCUGCGCUAAUACCGCAUACGAUCUGAGGAUGAAAGCGGGGGACCGUAAGGCCUCGCGCGAUCGGAGCGGCCGAUGUCAGAUGAGGUAGUUGGUGGGGUAAAGGCCCACCAAGCCGACGAUCUGUAGCUGGUCUGAGAGGACGACCAGCCGCACUGGGACUGAGACACGGCCCAGACUCCUACGGGAGGCAGCAGUGGGGAAUUUUGGACAAUGGGCGAAAGCCUGAUCCAGCAAUGCCGCGUGCAGGAAGAAGGCCUUCGGGUUGUAAACUGCUUUUGUACGGAGCGAAAAGGUCCUUUCUAAUACAAGGGGCUCAUGACGGUACCGUAAGAAUAAGCACCGGCUAACUACGUGCCAGCCGCCGCAGUAA
rnacentral:rRNA from 1 species